ACACUCCUACGGGAGGCAGCAGUGGGGAAUAUUGCACAAUGGGCGCAAGCCUGAUGCAGCCAUGCCGCGUGUAUGAAGAAGGCCUUCGGGUUGUAAAGUACUUUCAGCGGGGAGGAAGGCAAUACGGUUAAUAACCGUGUUGAUUGACGUUACCCGCAGAAGAAGCACCGGCUAACUCCGUGCCAGCAGCCGCGGUAAUACGGAGGGUGCAAGCGUUAAUCGGAAUUACUGGGCGUAAAGCGCACGCAGGCGGCCUGUCAAGUCGGAUGUGAAAUCCCCGGGCUCAACCUGGGAACUGCAUUCGAAACUGGCAGGCUUGAGUCUUGUAGAGGGGGGUAGAAUUCCAGGUGUAGCGGUGAAAUGCGUAGAGAUCUGGAGGAAUACCGGUGGCGAAGGCGGCCCCCUGGACAAAGACUGACGCUCAGGUGCGAAAGCGUGGGGAGCAAACAGGAUUAGAUACCCGUGUAGUCCCAUGAU
rnacentral:rRNA from 1 species